rnacentral:tRNA from 1 species
GUGGGGAUAGCUUAGUAGGUAAAGUGCUUGCCUUGCCAGCGUGAGGACCUGAGUUCAAUUCCCAGAACCUACC